rnacentral:rRNA from 1 species
UACCAGCACCCCGAGUGGUCGGGACGUUUAUUGGGCCUAAAGCAUCCGUAGCCGGUUCUACAAGUCUUCCGUUAAAUCCAACUGCUUAACAGGUGGGCUGCGGAAGAUACUAUAGAGCUAGGAGGCGGGAGAGGCAAGCGGUACUCGAUGGGUUGGGGUAAAAUCCGUUGAUCCAUUGAAGACCACCAGUGGCGAAGGCGGCUUGCCAGAACGCGCUCGACGGUGAGGGAUGAAAGCUGGGGGAGCAAACCGG